rnacentral:sRNA from 1 species
GUCCUGGAAGCUUAAACCCACACACGUGUCGACACGAUGACCUGGGUGCCUUUGGCGGCUCGCCACUGGUUGGUCAUUGGGAUACGUGGAGGCCUAAC